CCCUUAGAUGUUCUGGGCCGCACGCGCGCUACAAUGGCAGACUCAGCGAGUUACCUCUGUCGAAAGGCACAGGGAAUCUUUACAGUAUCUGCCGCGAUGGGGAUAGACCCUUGUAAUUUUUGGUCUUCAACGAGGAAUUCCUAGUAAACGCAAGUCAUUAACUUGCAUUGAUUACGUCCCUGCCCUUUGUACACACCGCCCGUCGCACCUACCGAUUGAAUGGUCCGGUGAAGUCCUCGGACCCAGUUGAACCUCGAGUUGAACAGGGAAAGUUGACUAAAUCUUACCAUUUAGAGGAAGGUGAAGUCGUAACA
rnacentral:rRNA from 1 species